GUGCUCACUUCGGCAGCACAUAUACUAAAAAUUGGAAUGAUACAGAGAAGAUUAGCAUGGCCCCUGCGCAAGUAUGCAUAGAAACUGAAAUAAAAUUAGAUGGACUAUGUUUAU
ensembl:snRNA U6 U6 spliceosomal RNA